AAGUCGUAACAAGGUUUCCGUAGGUGAACCUGCGGAAGGAUCAUUAACACGUAUCCAGUGAACCUUCAUCCUGCUCUUGUAACCCGCGUAGUUCGCAAUCUCUGAUAAAUCAUAGCCCGGAAAGUUGUAGUGAUUCAGUAUUACAUUGAGCUUCACAUUAUACUGUGGGGUUAUUAGGGGGCAUGGGGACCCUUUGGCAAAGCUCCUGACCGAGUGUACGGUCUACAGGAAUCGUAGAAGCGCUAUGCUUGCACAAUCAAUGACACUUUCCGACACUGACUGCGCCUAUCGAACUACCGCUCGAUUGUAACUGUUCCAAUGUUCGCACGUUGCCAGAGGUCUCAUUGGGUAAAAAAACCGAACAACUGUUAACAAUGGAUAUCUUGGUUCUC
rnacentral:misc_RNA from 1 species